rnacentral:rRNA from 1 species
CAGCAGCCACGGGAAUACAGAGGGUGCAAGCGUUAAUCGGAAUUACUGGGCGUAAAGCGCGCGUAGGUGGUUUGUUAAGUUGGAUGUGAAAUCCCCGGGCUCAACCUGGGAACUGCAUCCAAAACUGGCAAGCUAGAGUAUGGUAGAGGGUGGUGGAAUUUCCUGUGUAGCGGUGAAAUGCGUAGAUAUAGGAAGGAACACCAGUGGCGAAGGCGACCACCUGGACUGAUACUGACACUGAGGUGCGAAAGCGUGGGGAGCAAACAGGAUUAGAGACCCCUGUAGUCCCUGUCUCUUAUAC